GGGCAGGUACCAAAGUGGACAACUGGAGCAGACUGUAAAUCUGCUGGUCUCGGCCUUCGGGGGUUCGAAUCCCUCUCUGCCCACAA
rnacentral:tRNA from 1 species